rnacentral:lncRNA from 1 species
CUGCGCUCUGGCGGGAGGGCGCUUCUCUCGGCUUUUUAUAGCUUCAUGGCGGACCACGUUGAGAACAACAACAGCCUGGUCCGGGGCCAGCGCCAACUUGUGCUUCUUGGAGCCCCUUCUCCGGCCGCUGGCUUCUCGGACCGCGCCUCUCCAGCGCCGCCGCGCCCGCAGCGGGGCGCCCCGGACAGGGCCUGAGCUCCCGGCGCAGUGGAGAGGCGACUUGCGUCCUGGAAGGGCUCAGCAAAGGCGAACGGAGAGGUGCACCCUAGGCUGCGGGAGCGCGAGAGGAGGGGGGCACCUCGUUUGGAGGCCAAUAGCGCGGGCCCCAGAGGAGGCCCCACGGCCGGGAGCUUGGCGGCCGGCAACCCAGAGAACGCCACGGGCACCCGAGCCUUGUCCCGGCCCGGGGGGCUCCAGGCCUGCCCGCAAGAGGAGCUUUAAUUUGUCCAAACUAACACAGGGCGCGCCCUCACGUGGUCGGCUGGGGCAACGUGAACUGCGCUAGGACAUCCUCGGGGGUUUUCCGCCCCAUCCAAAGGGGAUGGCGGAUGGGAGGCACUCUCCAGCUGCACCCCGGGUUCUGGUUGUGCCUCUGGGAGCCUAGGCACAACCCGGGGAAUGGAGGACUACGGCAGGACCUCUCUAGGGACACUGCCUCGCCGCUCCCCCCACCCUGUUGCCGCUGAUGUUCCCAGGGCCUCAUUUUGUAAUCCACAAGUAGCUGCCGCCGGUCCCCCCAAAGCCAAAUGGGGGCUCCAGGGUGGGACAGGGUGGGCGGGGGUGAGGCUGUGACACCCAGAGGAAUUCCUGUGAGAGGAUGGGGAAGGGAUUCGCUCUUAGUUCCUGGGUGCACCCCUCCCCCUCUCCCGUGCACAGGGAAAUGAUGGCGGGAACACAGCAAAGGAGACCAUGUCCUGGAGAGGGUCCCGGGCCCCACCCUCCCCGGGGGGGCUUGUGCAAGGCUGGCGGCCCGAUCUCUGCUGAUUCCAGUAUUGGGGGUGCAGAGAAGGCACAGGACAGUUUUUGUUGAAGCCGUUGCAGCCUCCACUUGGGGAAGCUGAGGCCAGGAGCACCAGGUACCCUGAGAAAAGUGAGAAGAGAGAUUGCAGCCCAGGUCCCUGCAGAGGAGGAUGGGCUCCUUUCCCAGGAAGGACUGGCUGAGUGGACUGUCUCCAGGGCACAGGACAACGUUGAGGGCCUGAGGCCUCCACCUUCUUGAAGAAGGACCAUGUGAAUUUCCUGACAGAGAACGGGGAUGGGUUUCUGAAAGCACCACCCAGCUGAGCCUGCCGAAACUGCACAGCUGUUUCCAGGCCAGGCUGGCUGCAUGGAGGACGUGAGAGGAACAGCCAGCUGUGUGUGCUGGGCCCACUGAUCAGGGUGCUCAGGACCAGGAGCCUUCUGAGGAUGUGCAGAGGGGACUCUGGGGAGAGGAACAUGGUGGCCACAGCUGGAGUGACCGCAGUGUACAGAGAUGGGAUGGGAGCAGGAAACCCAAAAGAGCCGGCCCUGGAACCAGGUGGAGGGGAGGCAGCCCGGCCAUGACCCAGAGCAGGACACCUGCUCCACUUCACCUUUUGCCAUGAGUAAAAGCUCCCUGAGGCCUCCCAAGAAGUUGAUGCCCUGUGCUUCCUGUACAGCUGCGGAACCGGAUGGCUUUCCGUGGCUUUGCUACAGCCACUCCUGGAAGUGCUGCCUGACUGAAUCCUCAGGGCACCCCGGCAGGAUGGACGUGGUGUACCCCCUACUUUACAGAUGGGGAAACUGAGGCUUGAGAGCUAAAGCAGCCCACCCAGCUCCCAGAGAUGAGGAGGCCGACUCUGGCAGGAGUCACUGUCGGUGCAUGGGCAUUUCUUCCUGUUACAGCCUGCGGCCCCUUCCAGGCCGGGAGGCCUUCUGCGCAGGGUAGGAAAAUGGGAACACCCAGGCCGAUUUUCCGAUCAGCAAAGCUCUGCUCCCUAAGGCUGAUGGGCUUCUUAAAGACAAAGGAAAAAAGAACCCAGGAUUGCCCUGACGUGAUGGUAUGACCCAUUCUGGGAGGCCGAGAGCACCUCAAAGAACUCAGCAGGAAGCACAGUUUCAAUUCAGAAGUUCUGGAAGGCGAGGCAGGACAGGGCACCCUCCCUGCAUGGCCCGAUGACCUGCACUCCUGUUUCAUCUCCCCGUGUGGCACCUGGGGCAGCUUGGAGCCUACCAAGGUCUCAACAAGGAACCAGUAAAUACCAAAAAAAGGACAUCACGUCCCCUACAGCUAACUGCAAAUGGUGACCAUCCCAGCCCUUGUUUGAUAACACAAGCAAAGCAAUGGCUUCUUCAAGGACACCGAGAGGAACCUCACCUCUUUCUAAAACCUCCAACACAGGGCCAGGCGCGGUGGCUCAUGCGUGUAAUCCCAGCACUUUGGGAGGCCGAGGCAGGUGGAUCACGAGGUCAGGAGAUCGAGACCAUCCUGGCUAACACGGUGAAACCCCGUCUCUACUAAAAAUAAAAAAAAUUAGCCGG